AGAACCAGGGGGAAAAAAAAUUAUAGAAAGGAGAAAGCGGAAGAUGUAAGCAUGAAACAUUUGUGGGUUUGGGAUUGUUGGUUUUUUUUGUUGUUGUUGUUGUUUGGUUUUUUCCCCCCCAGAUUUUAUUUAUUUGAGAGAGAGUGAGAGAGAGAGAGAAAGGGGGAGGAGCUGAGGGAGACGCAGACUCCCGCCAGGACCCUGGGAUCCUGACCUGAACUGAAGGCUAAACUGACUGAGCCACCCAGGUGCCAGGAAUGAAAUGUUAUAUUUGGCCCCUGGUAGCCCAUAAACGGCCCCCAGAGAACCCCAAGGACAGCAAACGCUUGCCUCAGCUGGUCUUACCUUUCUGUCCUCCCAGUAUGGUUAAAGUUUAGAAGACCCGAUGUAUUAUUGCUCUACUGUAGGGCAUACUGGAGAAAUUAGCAGACAUCUGUGGAUCUUCCUUCUCUGUCAUUUGAGUUUUCAUCUGUCUGUUGACCCACUUGAAUGGGAUCCUUGCGACCUUGGAUUUUGCUCGUUUAUCAUCCAGAUCUGGGGUGUUGUGGACCUAUCAACAAUUGGUGAAGAAAUAAUGUUAUACAUGUUAGACUCUAUUGGAGGUGUGGUGCCUCCCUUGUUGGCUGCCUGGGAUAAACAUCAUUCCAAGUUCCUUUGAGUGAGACUCCCUUGAGAUUGUCAGGGUAGGAAUUUGGGGUUUGCAAUGUCUAUGUCAUGACUCCCCCCUCUUUUGGCUUCAGACUAUACAUAAGGCUCUUGAUCUCAUGGCACUCUCUGAAGGUCAGGGGCAAGGCAGACAGCUGGAAGGAUGGCUAUCAGGGCAGGAAGAUGGCUGUGGGGAAGGAAGGGCACACAGGACGGGAUCCACACCUGGGAUUGGAGGUGUGGAAACGAGAGAGGUGAAUCUGAGAACGAUAGAGGUGAAGCUGUGAAAGAAGAAUCCACAGAACCUUCCGAGUACGUGGGGUAUAUAGGGAGAAGAGGAGCAGGCAGUUGAAGACGGCUCAGCAAGGUGACUCUAGUCUGUGACAGCGGCACAGGAAGUACUCAACCAUCAACAGAAAUGGGGAAUUCAGAGCGAGCGUGCAGAGCUGGAUGGGUUCAGACCCACUGAGCCUGGAAGAGCUAGAAACCUGCCUUUCAGGUCUAUGGAAACCCAGGACCACUUCUCGUGAAUGUUCAGGAAAGGAAGUGCAGAGCAUUAGAAACCACAGUCCCGGGUCAAAGAUUACCGCAGUCAGGGGUCAGAGGACACCAGAAGAGUCACAUGACUCAGCAACGCCCAGCCCUCUCCGGUUAUCCUCAUAUACUUGGGUGUGGUCCUUGCCGUGUUGAGACCAGUCAGCCGGAACAUAUCCUUUCCUUUCUCUUUUCUUUCUUUCUUUCUUUUUUUUUUUUUUUUUUAACUUCUUAUUAUAGAGAACUUUAAAAAUAAGCCAAGGUAGAAGGAACAUUAACGGACACCCACAUUCCCAGUUCCCAAUUCCCAUGCAGCCUUAACAAUGAUCACAUCGGUGGUCCACCUUGGUUCCUCCCACGUGCUCCCUCUUCUCCCUGCAUCGUGAUUAUGAAGCAAAUUCCAGACAUCACACUUUUCCUUAUAAAUAUUUCAGUAUGAAUUUCAAAAGAUAAGGACUCUUUAAAAAAAAUAAAUAAACACAAAACCAUUACUCUGCCUUAAAACUUGGUAUAUUAUUCAUGUCAAGUCAGGUUCACAUUUCCAUUUAAAAAAAAAAAAACUAGUUUAUUUGAAUUAGAAUUCAAAUUAGACCACAGAUUGGGAUUGGUUGAUAAGCUUUUACGUCUUUUUCACUCUGUGGAUUCUCUCUCUCUCUCUCUCUCCCACCCUGGGGCCUCGCUCUUCUUUGAAGUGCCCACCACCCAUUAUCCUCACUCCUGUGCACCACUAUUCCUGUGGCCUGUGGAGAUAUCCGGAGUCAUCUUUGUUCUGGACCUUCAGUGAAGGACACGCCCAUCCUGCGCACAGGCCUGAGUAAGCAGCGGGUUGCACCACCACGAGAACACACCUAGUCUCAAGUUGGUGGAUGAAGCCGACUCGGUCACCUGUGUCCCAGUAAUGCCCAUUUGGCUGCUUAGCUCUGCCUUGCUGCAGAGCCAGGAGUAAUAAGUCCUUGUUUGCCUUGGAAAGUUCUAGAAAGAGGCCGGGCUCAUCACAAAGGUCUGUCUUCAGGGCAAUGCUGGGCAGGCCUUCUGAGCCCUAAGAGGAAACCUGAGAGCUGAGACGCACCAUCAGCUCAGCUCCACAUCUCCAACUACCGAGACACCCCCAAAUCGCAGCAUCAGUCUCAGCUUUGCUUCGGCACCUGGGGCCUCUGGCACAGGGUUAACUCGGUACCAGCUGAUACCCAGUGCCACUCAAAAUGUCCUAUAAAAUGUAGGUGAGUAUAAAGGAUACGGCGUCUUCAACAGUGAAGAUUAAGAUGUGUAGGGAAUGGGACAAAGGAUGGGUUGGUUGUGAUGGCGGCUGAGCAGGCUCCAGCAGCGAGAGCAGCCCUGGGCAGGUCCAGGUGGGGCUGCAAAGUGGGGCGGCCCGACGUGCAGGCCCCGCGUCUUAGCAAAUGGCCAGGAAGGGGAAGGCAGGAGAAUCCAGGAGAGGAAACUAUCAUCUUAUGCAGCACUGGGAUGGGCCUUGUGCUGCCGCAGAGAUACAUACAGAGACUAACCUCGGGGGAAGAGGGGUUAAAAAUUGUUGAGGAGGAAACGGGCAUCUUUUGUUCCUCCUUUCCCUUGAAGAUAAAGCUAGUGUGUAUAGAAUGAAAGAAGACUUGAAAGCACUGGAUGUGAGGAACAAGAAAACGCCAGCGCCUGGCACUGAAUUCUCCGCCAGCGUAGCUCAUUUCUCAGCAAAAGCCCCAUAAAAGGGUCUCCGCCUCAAACAAGGCUCAGGCAUACAGCUGGGCCGGCCCGGGGGCACCACUGGUUCCAAGGCGCCCUGGAGCAUUGCUGGAGGCGAGCCCGAUGCCGGGAAUGGCUUCCACUCACUGCC